AUGGCCACGGAGUUCCCCCCCACGCCGGCCAGCGGCGGCCGCGCCGCGGAGACGCCGCUGAGCCCGGCGCGGCUGAGCCGGCUGCAGGAGAAGGAGGAGCUGCAGCAGCUCAAUGACCGCCUGGCCGCCUACAUCGAGCGGGUGCGGGCGCUGGAGGCCGACAACUCGGCGCUGCAGCUGCGACUGAGCGAGCAGGAGGCGGGCACCGACCGGGAGCUGGACUGCCUGCGGCUGCACUACCAGGCGGAGCUGGCCGACGCUCGCCGGGCGCUGGACGACAUCGCCAUCGAGCGGGCCACGCUGCAGGUGGAGCUGGGCAAGAUCGGCGAGGAUCACCGGCAGCUGCACGUCCGGAAUUCCAAAAAAGAAAGUGAUUUGAACCUGGCCCAGGCUCGUCUGAGAGACCUCGAUGCCCAGCUGAUCGCGAAGGAAGCUGACUUAGCCACAGCCCUGAGCGAGAACCGCACUUUAGAGAGUGAGCUCCGUGAAUUAAAGGAGGAAGUACUCACGCUGAAUAUGUCACUGGAAGAUACCACAAAGCAUCUCCACAGUGAAAUGUUGAGGAGGGUGGACCUAGAAAAUCAUAUGAAAACUUUGCAGGAAGAAAUGACGUUCCAGAAGCGCCUUCAUGAAGAUAAGCUCAAGGAGACAAAAAGAGUCCAUGAGAGCAGGGUAGCAGAAGUAGAAUCUGGCCGUCAGAGAGAAUUUGAGAGUAAGCUCUCAGAAGCUCUGCAGGAGAUCAGAAGACAACACGAAGAACAAAUUCAAGGAUACAAAGAGGAGCUGGAGCGAACAUUCAGUGCAAAGAUGGAGAAUGCCCAGCUAACUGCAAGAAGAAAUAGUGAGUCUGCCAGUGCUGCUCGGGAGGAGCUGCUGGAAACAAAGAAGAGAAUUGAUACUCUGGUAUCUCAAGUUAAUCAGUAUCAAAGCCAGAAUGUUGCUUUGGAGAGCAGAAUAAAGGAGCUACAGGACUUGCUGGAUUAUGAUCGUGAUCUCCAUCGAAGGCACAUGGCUGAAAAGGAGGAAGAAAUGGCACAAGCUCAGAGGCAGGCACAAGAACAGCUGGAAGAAUAUGAGCAUCUCUUAGAUGUGAAACUGGCUCUGGAUUUGGAAAUAAAUGCCUACAGAAAGAUGCUGGAAGGAGAGGAACAGAGGCUGAGGCUGUCACCCACUCCAUCUUCACGCAGCAUGGCAACUCCAACAACAAGUAAAGGACGGAGGUUUCUGCAUGGGAAGAAAAGGAAAGUGAAAGAAUCCAAAAAGAGAGAGUGUGCUGCUGCAUUUAAGACUGUUCAGCAUGCCUCAGCUUCUGGAAAUGUAUCCAUUGAAGAGAUCGAUGCAGAUGGGAAAUUUGUCAGGGUUAAAAACAACUCUGACGAGGAUCAAUCACUCCAUGGCUGGGUGCUGAGACGACAUAUUGGAAGUGUGUCAGAUGUUACUUACAAGUUUCCUUCGCAGUUCACUCUUCAGGCAGGCCAAGUAGUUACAAUCUGGGGUGCAGCUGCUGGUGUAAGCCCAGGUCCAAGUGAUCUGGUCUGGAAGUCUCAGAGGUCUUGGGGAACUGGGGAUAGUAUUGAUGUUACACUUAUCACAGAUGAUGGUGAGGAACUCGCAGAGAGGAAGAUAACAUUUGUACCCAGAGGAGAAGAAAGCAGUGAGCAAGAUGAUGAUUAUGAAGAAAUAACUGGAAGUGAAAUGGAGUUUGCAUCUCAGACCAAAAGAAGAAGAAAAAAGAAAUGUUGUUUGGUUUCAUGAUAGUGGUUCCUGUGAGCAUCCUUAAGCAGCAACUUUACAAUACAGUUGUGUGACAUUUAUGCAAAAUGAGGAUCCCAGCUGUUCUCUCAUGUAAUGUGGACAAAGAGACAAUCAUCUGAAAACAUCUCUGAGUCCCAAGUGACAUAGACUGUACGUGUUUUGGUAUCUUCUGCAAUAUCUGAAACUUGGAAUUCACAUCACACCUGAUGUCUUUGUAAGAAACGUUGUCUAGAACAUGAUGGAAUUUCCUACCUUCUGAUACUGGACCCUGUCCUCGGAUUCACUCUUACAAAGAGCAGUAGAAUGCAAGCUCCAUGUGAACUUAUUUUUACUUUUAUACAGGGAUCUGGUUUCCAUGACCUGCUGAAAGAGAGGAGGGUACACAGUUUACAAAGCUUCUAAAUGUGCUCUAGAAGGAUGUUAAAUACUUGACAAUGAACAUGAGGCUGCCUCAAUAUUCUGAUAUGGUGUUUCUCCAAAGAUAAUUUCUCUUUUAAGCCUGAGCGGGAAAUGGGACAGAUCACAGCCUGGCUUGCCCCUUGAGCAAGUUAAAACAUUGUCCUGAAGAGUUAUGAGUGUCUGAAAUGUUUCCUGCUCAGGUCCUGAUGCAGAAAUAUAUGAAAACUGCUCUACAGCACUUGCUGGAGUGAAACACUUUAAAAUUAAAAGCAAGUUGUAAAAAGUAUUUGUGCCUGGUAAUACACAUACUGUUUCUAUAUUCUAGCACCUGGAAAUCCCCCAGUUUCAGUAUUGUAUAUUCCUAGACAGAAUAUCACAGCAUAGCUGUGCCAACCUUAACUUGGACAAAUGUAUCCUGUAAAUGUGAAAAAGCAUCUCAUUCCAACAGGGCAGGUACUGUGACUAGUGUUGUUGGCACUGUUUGAAUAGUCCCAACAACAACUUUCUAAGGGGCUAGAAAGAAAAACAUGCUAAAACAAACAUGAAAACCAGAAAGCACCAACUGUAGUGAAAAAUGCAUUGAAACAGCUGCUCUUAGAGUACUUAUGUACUGACUCCCUGCAGUCUGCAGCACUGGGGAUGUGUCCAGUGGGCCAGUUGGGGGAAUACUUGACUACUGGUCAGUGUGCUAUCAUUGAUAGCUCUGGGUCCAUGCAAAGCCUGUCCUGUAACGCUCAGAACCAGGCACUCAGCCUCUGGGGGCACUGCAGUCAGUCACUCCUUGCCUCUCUUCACUGAACUUAGUUGCUGGCCCUGAGGGGGAAAGGAAGGGCCUGGAUGAGCCACUGGAAGUACACUUCUACUUUAGAGCAGGAGAGGAGUAGCUGAGCCUGCAGGUUUAUCUAGAUGCUGGAAUAGUGUUUUGACUGUCUUUUAUCUUGCCAAAGGACUCAGUUCCAAACUCAAGACCUUGGUGUUUUAGGAUGUAGAUGUUAAGGUGCUUAUGCUAACUUAAGCUUUUACAUUAUUUGAAAGUUCUAGUUUUGAGACAUCAAGAGUAGAUGUUGGUUUAAUACUUGCAUUGUAGCAGAUCCAAAUUCUUGUUCCACCUGAAACCAUAGAAAUAGCUGCUGCUAUAACAUUGCUGUAUUUGUCUUGAUUUCUUAAAACUUUUUUAACUAUUAAAGAUAUUUUUCAUGUAUAUAAAAGUCUUGGAUAUAAAAGUCAUGUAUAUAAGUCUGGGAUUUGAAUAUUUGCAAAUUAAAUAAUAAAGGUCUGUUUAUUCACUGAUUUCAGUUGAGUG